rnacentral:RNase_P_RNA from 1 species
UUGGGGACAAGGAAGCUUAAGGAGUCACAAAAGAGCGCUUGUCGCUCUUCUUCACUCCUGGGAAGGUCUGAGAUAAGGUCACUUCAUUCCCGAGACGGGAAGUGUAGUAAAUGCACGUGAAGGAACCAGAAAAAGUAUUGCAUAACUCUACAAAUUGUCCACGACGCCAGUUUGGCUGAGACAGGGUUGAUGCAAUUGAGAAUUUUUCACGACUGGCAGUGCUAAGUGCGAUGGCUUCUCCUAAAACUCAAUUCAGACUACUCUGUAACCAA